AUUGAACGCUGGCGGCAGGCCUAACACAUGCAAGUCGAGCGGAUGAAGGGAGCUUGCUCCUGGAUUCAGCGGCGGACGGGUGAGUAAUGCCUAGGAAUCUGCCUGGUAGUGGGGGAUAACGUCCGGAAACGGGCGCUAAUACCGCAUACGUCCUGAGGUAGAAAGUGGGGGAUCUUCGGACCUCACGCUAUCAGAUGAGCCUAGGUCGGAUUAGCUAGUUGGUGGGGUAAAGGCCUACCAAGGCGACGAUCCGUAACUGGUCUGAGAGGCUGAUCAGUCACACUGGAGCUGAGACACGGUCCAGACUCCUACGGGAGGCAGCAGUGGGGAAUAUUGGGCAAUGGGCGAAAGCCUGAUCCAGCCAUGCCGCGUGUGUGAAGAAGGUCUUCGGAUUGUAAAGCACUUUAAGUUGGGGGGAAGGGCAGUAAGUUAAUACCUUGCUGUUUUGACGGUACCAACAGAAUAAGCACCGGCUAACUUCGUG
rnacentral:rRNA from 1 species